rnacentral:rRNA from 1 species
CCGGCGCACGGGUGAGUAACACGUAUGCAACCUGGCCGUCACAGGUGGAUAACCGGAAGAAAUUCCGACUAAUACAGCAUAACACUCCUGAGGGACAUCCUUCGGGAGUCAAAGGAGGCAACUCCGGUGACGGAUGGGCAUGCGGCGCAUUAGGUAGUUGGUAGGGUAACGGCCUACCAAGCCGACGAUGCGUAGGGGUUCUGAGAGGAAGGUCCCCCACACUGGUACUGAGACACGGACCAGACUCCUACGGGAGGCAGCAG